rnacentral:rRNA from 1 species
CACGCCGUAAACGAUGGAUACUAGGUGUGGGGGGUCUGACCCCCUCCGUGCCGCAGUUAACACAAUAAGUAUCCCACCUGGGGAGUACGAUCGCAAGGUUGAAACUCAAAGGAAUUGACGGGGGCCCGCACAAGCGGUGGAGUAUGUGGUUUAAUUCGAAGCAACGCGAAGAACCUUACCAGGGCUUGACAUCCCGCUAACGAAGCAGAGAUGCAUUAGGUGCCCUUCGGGGAAAGCGGAGACAGGUGG